AUGAACGCUAGCUACAGGCUUAACACAUGCAAGUCGAGGGGCAUCAGGAAGAAAGCUUGCUUUCUUUGCUGGCGACCGGCGCACGGGUGAGUAACACGUAUCCAACCUGCCCUUUACUCGGGGAUAGCCUUUCGAAAGAAAGAUUAAUACCCGAUAGCAUAAUGAUUCCGCAUGGUUUCAUUAUUAAAGGAUUCCGGUAAAGGAUGGGGAUGCGUUCCAUUAGGUUGUUGGUGAGGUAACGGCCCACCAAGCCUUCGAUGGAUAGGGGUUCUGAGAGGAAGGUCCCCCACAUUGGAACUGAGACACGGUCCAAACUCCUACGGGAGGCAGCAGUGAGGAAUAUUGGUCAAUGGGCGCUAGCCUGAACCAGCCAAGUAGCGUGAAGGAUGAAGGCUCUAUGGGUCGUAAACUUCUUUUAUAUAAGAAUAAAGUGCAGUAUGUAUACUGUUUUGUAUGUAUUAUAUGAAUAAGGAUCGGCUAACUCCGUGCCAGCAGCCGCGGUAAUACGGAGGAUCCGAGCGUUAUCCGGAUUUAUUGGGUUUAAAGGGAGCGUAGGUGGACUGGUAAGUCAGUUGUGAAAGUUUGCGGCUCAACCGUAAAAUUGCAGUUGAUACUGUCAGUCUUGAGUACAGUAGAGGUGGGCGGAAUUCGUGGUGUAGCGGUGAAAUGCUUAGAUAUCACGAAGAACUCCGAUUGCGAAGGCAGCUCACUGGACUGCAACUGACACUGAUGCUCGAAAGUGUGGGUAUCAAACAGGAUUAGAUACCCUGGUAGUCCACACAGUAAACGAUGAAUACUCGCUGUUUGCGAUAUACAGUAAGCGGCCAAGCGAAAGCAUUAAGUAUUCCACCUGGGGAGUACGCCGGCAACGGUGAAACUCAAAGGAAUUGACGGGGGCCCGCACAAGCAGUGGAGUAUGUGGUUUAAUUCGAAGCAACGCGAAGAACCUUACCAGGUCUUGACAUCCUACUAACGAGAUAGAGAUAUGUUAGGUGCCCUUCGGGGAAAGUAGAGACAGGUGGUGCAUGGUUGUCGUCAGCUCGUGUCGUGAGAUGUUGGGUUAAGUCCCGCAACGAGCGCAACCCUUAUGGUCAGUUACUACGCAAGAGGACUCUGGCCAGACUGCCGUUGACAAAACGGAGGAAGGUGGGGAUGACGUCAAAUCAGCACGGCCCUUACGUCCGGGGCUACACACGUGUUACAAUGGGGGGUACAGAAGGCAGCUAGCGGGUGACCGUAUGCUAAUCCCAAAAGCCUCUCUCAGUUCGGAUCGAAGUCUGCAACCCGACUUCGUGAAGCUGGAUUCGCUAGUAAUCGCGCAUCAGCCACGGCGCGGUGAAUACGUUCCCGGGCCUUGUACACACCGCCCGUCACACCAUGGGAGUCAGUAACGCCCGAAGUCAGUGACCUAACCGCAAGGAAGGAGCUGCCGAAGGCGGGACCGAUAACUGGGGUG
rnacentral:rRNA from 1 species